rnacentral:lncRNA from 1 species
GGAACUGCCAAGUUAUGAACGAAAGAACUUAUCCCCACCUCGGGGUGAAAGGGGCGGCACUAAACUGAACAGAUUCUUUGGGGCCGUGGGAAAAGAAACUGAGGGGACCCAUCCCUCCCGAAGGAAUCUGCAACUGAGGGCCAGGCACGCGAAGGUCAAGAUUGCGGGCCCGGGAGAAAAUGACAAGCCCUCGGGGCUUUGUGGACCUAGCUCGGGAAGAAAAGGAGACGGAAGACUGGAGGAAACAACAGAUACAAAUAACCUCUUAAUGACACACAAGGGAAAUAUGGACCAUCAUCACCCUCAAGGAUAUUCAUCAAUGCCAGGAUCUGAAGUGUGUUUAAUACAAGAGAUAAUUGCAUUUUGAAAUCUAAGAGAUUCUAUUGGCUGUCCAAUUGUUAGAAUAAGGAGAACAUCAGAGAUUUUAAUCAUUUUUUAUGUCUUGGACCCCAUUGGUACUCUUGGAAAGCCUAUGGAUCCCUUCUUGGAAUGAUGUUUUUAAUUGAGUAAAAUAAAAUACAUGUUUACAAAGAAAAC